CACGUGCUCCCCUUCUCC
rnacentral:miRNA from 1 species